GGCGGCGGGAGGGGCGGAGGAAGCACGGCGAGGGACAGUCCCCGCGCCGGGCCCGCCCUGGGGAGGGGUCGGGCCGAGCGCCAGGCCCAGCCCGAGUCCCGCGGCGCAGGCCCCGACGAGGUCAAGGACAGGAGUCGCAUUCCUGAAAUGCAGAAGUCUCAGUGCAGUCCAGCCUGUGGAGUCAAGACCAAAGAUGGAGCACUGGUGGUGGAGACCCUACACUACAGACAGCAUUUCCCUACUCUAGGUCAAAACACUGGAUUAGUGCUGCUUUCUCCAAGUUUAUUAUCAACUCCCCUGUUAGUCAGCCUGCAGUGGUCUGAAUGAGUUUUGUCAUAGCCCUUUGAUACCUGUGAAAUUGUGUACACCUCUUAGUGGCCCUACUUACCCUCUUCUCAAAAAAAAAAAAAAAAAAAAAAAAAAAAGA